CAAAUACACGUGAACUUGUAAACGUGGCUUCUGGAAAAUGAGAGAAGUAUAGUUAUCUCAUUCCUCUCAAAUCCAAGCUCCCAGUCGCCCUUUUCCACCUCUCGAUCCACCGUCAAUUGUACUCAUGCUCGUCUAGCGUUACAGUCCAGUCUUCCCAUCAACGUACUUGAUACCACCACGCACAGUUGCCUCCACAGCCCACUCAGCAACUCUGCGGUUGCCGCAACCUGCGAUACAACCAGUAGAGGAGUUCCAUAGUUAACGGUAAUAAGGGAAUCGGGUCCUUAUUUAAUUUCCUCUCCGUAUUCAACAAGUUUUGUGGUUCAUCUUUUAAUGACAAUACAAAUAAACAAUACUUCAUUCAAUUUCAUGGAAACUUCCUUCCAAAAACAAAUUAAGGGGACAUAUUUUGAGAAGAUUGAGAUUGACGAAGUCAAGAAGUCAAGGGCAGCUGAAAGCGUAAAGAUUAGUAAUCAACAAAAUAAUCUCAAUCAAUCAUACAAAAGAAUGUUGACUUUUUAAGUCACGCGAAAAAUUUUGGUUUAUCCGAUUUAUGAACGGAAUUUUGCCGGAUUUUCUGUAGAAAUUUUUAUAUUUUAAAUCGUUACAAAUGAUUGUUAUAAUGUAAUUCUUUACAUCUUUCAAAGGUUGUAAACUCUAAUAUUUAAAUUUUUUAUGGAUGUCUAGUGGAUAUUAUAAUUAAUUGAGUAAUUAAUUAUAUUAUCAACUUAAUAGCCCGAUAUAUGUAUUAAGCUUCCGCAUUAGUUGAAAUUAAUCUUAUUUAAUCAGCUAGUGAGUUUUGGGUUGUUAUAAUUAAUGACCAAAUUAUGCGUCAAACUAUAUUAUAUUAUAAUUAAUUUUUUUUUGCAUUGUAUUACUUUUAAAUAUAUAACAGAAGCUCUUAAAAAGAUGGGGGAAUUUAAAUAACAUUUUGAUUGAGGCGUGGAGGAGUUUAGGAGAAUAGGGCAUUCAUUGGCAAACUGAACUCUUUAAUGCCAUCUUGAGAUUUAGUAAGAUGUCGGAAGAAUGGAGGGUUAGCAUAAUUAUCCCACUGUUUAAGAACAAGGGCGAUGCACAAGAAUGCGGAACUACAGGAGUAUCAAACUUCUAAGCCAUACAAUGGAACUGUGAGAAAGAGUGAUUGAGAAAAGACUUAGAGGAGAGAUGGUGAUUAGAGAGAACUAGUUUGGAUUCAUGGCGGGAAGAUCAACCAUGGAGGCAAACCAUCUUUUGAGGAGACUGAUGGAAAAGUAUAGGGAGCGAAAAAAGGAUCUGCAUCUAGUGUUCAUUGACCUGGAGAAAGCGUAUGAUAGUAUACCACGAAGCAUCAUUUGGGAUAGUCUCAAGAAUAGUAGGAUUUCACAAAGGUACAUUGCGUCAAUAUAGGACAUGUAUGACAAAAUUUCGACUAACAUUCAAACACUGGUGGGUAUAACAAAGUCUUUUCCAAUUUAAGUGAGCCUACAUCAAAGAUCAGCACUAAGUCCUUUCAUUUUUACAGUCAUUAUGGAGGAAAUCUUUAAAUCCAUAUGGGAGAUCGUACCAUGGUGCAUGCUUUUUGCUUACGACAUUGUUUUGGCCGUGGAAACUAAGGAGGAGGCUAACAAAAAAUUGAAAGAAUGGAGGGUAAGGGGUUGCGUAUAAGCCGCACGAAGACAAAAUACUUGCGAUGCGACUUCAGUGGGACAGAAUAGAUAGGGGAGCCAGAGGUGACUAUCAGGGGGGAAGUUGUUACAUGUACGUCCAAGUUCAAAUAUUUGGGUUCGGUGAUCCAGAGCAAUGGGGAGAUUGAUGGAGACGUUUCUAAUCAUAUACAAGUGGGAUGACUUAAGUGGCGAGCAGCAAUCGGGGUGUUUUGUGAUAAAAAAUUCCUUAGAAGAUAAAGGGCAAAUUUUAUCGCGUUGCAAUCAGGCCGGUUUUGUUGUACUGGACAAAAUAUUAGCCCGUAAAGAAGGUUUUUGAACAGAGUAUGGAAAUAACAAAAUUGCAUAUGCUGAAGUGGAUGUGUAGGAAAACUAUGAUGGACAGGAUAAGAAACUAGGAGUUCAGAGAGAAGUUAGAGGUUGCACCUCUCUCUGCUAAGAUGGGGAAUAACAGGUUAAGAUGGUUUGGGCAUGUGCAGAGAAAGACCCAUGACGCGCCAUUAAGAAGGAUCGAAUGCAUCAUAGUAGAGGGCAAGAGAAGUCGAGGAAGACCAAGUAGAAUGUGGGAAGAACAGAUUAAAAGUGACCUGCACGAACUCCACCUCUCUAAGGACCUGACCAAGGAUAGAGUCAGUUGGCGGCGCCUUAUCCACGUCUUAGAUUACUAGACAUGUCCCUCUUAACCACCGUUUGAUUAUGUUCUUUGCCUAUACUUAUCGUUCUUUACCACCUCUCUUACCAUUAUCGUUUUUUUAGUUAUUUAUACGUACUCUAUUUGUUGUGUAGAUUUAGUUAGUUGAUUAAGAUUCAUGGUUAACGUGGGUGUAAAUUGUAGGCUUUCGGAUAGUUGCAGGUUCCUUUCUCUUUGAAGUCCCUUCUUGAGCCGAGGGACUCUUUGACCGCGCUCUCCUACAUGGUAUGAGCUGCCGUCUAUCUUCCCCCCAGAUCCUGACCCUAAUUGUCUAUGAGCAAGAUACACUGGAUAUGGUGAUGAUGAUGAUUAUAUUGGUUUGCAUGAUGUCAAUCGGUCAAUUAUAAUAAGUCACCAAACUUGUCCUAAUAUUUUAUCGUUCACUUGGAUUUAAAAAAUUAAAUUGAACAAAAUUUCAAUUCAAUCAUAAAUAAUCUUCUCAACAAAUUUGAGAAGAGUAAGAAUUUCAAGUAGAAAGUUCCUUUGCUUGGUUGAUAGUGGCAUGUAGACUUGUGUAGUUGUGUUUCUAGAAAUCUUUAAUUCUUCUUGUAGUGUGUCAUAUUAAAAACAAUUAAGCUUUCCCACUUAUCUUCUAACAAUCAUAUAAACAUAAAUUUUAUUUUUUCCUGUUAUUGUGUGUCUUAUUAAUAAAUUAAUUAUUUUUAUCUUUAUUUAUUUUUUUUUCUCUUUACUGCCCUUGAUAUUUUCAAAUCGAAAAUUUUCUCUUAUCGCUAAUGCAUCAAAUACUAUCAUUUAUCAACAUACACUCGAAAAUUUCUUUGCAUUAUCCGACUUAAUAAAAAGGUGAUCACGCUUAAGGAGUUUGAGGUUGACAAUGAGGAAAAGCUGAGGUAGAAGAAGAUUGUGGUUUGGAUGUGAAUGUUGUAAUGGAGAGUUUUUAAAUUUGGAUGAGAUGAUGAGGAAAAUCAUACAUACCCAAGUAAUGCAAGAAAAGGACUUCAAAGAGAAGCAAUCUUCCACACAAAGUGCAUCAUUACCACAAGCUAUGGAGUGAAUGUGUGUCAUAGAAAAAUAGAAUUCUAGCAAAUUUUAUGAAGUAUAAUAAAAAGGAAAUUAUAGUA